GGGGUGGUUCCAUGGCCCAGAAGCACUCUAGCUACAGAUUAGAAUGAUGACAAGAGUAAUACCUUCCUAGUGAAGAUGACUUUUAUUUCAGGACUAUAUUAAGUUUCCCAACUUCUGUCAUGAUAUAGUCCAAAGAGAACCUGGACCACGCAGACAUCAAACAGAACAUGACACUGACCCAUUCUAUCAGUGACGUUGUGCUGAUUGCACAGGACAGAUGAGAGGCUCGUAUACUAGAAGUCUUGAUAACUUGUUUUCUAGUUUCACAUGUCCACAGAUGAAGAAAAAUUGUGCCCCAGCAAGGAUUAUACCCAGAGCCUCAUCCAUUCAUACCUGAUUUAGAUACUUAGAUGAUGAGUAAUAGAAAAGCCAGCUGGACCUGCCCUCAGCUACCUCAUCUCUCUCUGUGACCUAAUGACAGAAAAGCACAUGAUUCUCUUCACCUGACUUCAUAUAUGGGUCCAUGUCAUAUGAUACUUCAAAAUCUGUGAUUCCAUGAAGCCAAGAGUAGCUCUUCAACAGGAAAUGAAUGAGUGCUUCAGCUUCUGAUCCCAUUAGUAAGAAAAUACAGUCUUAUGAGCAAUGAUGGAGCUGCAUCUCUUAGGGGCAUUUGAUUCCCAAGAGACCAAAGAGCAAAGAGAAUGUCAAUUUAAAAAAAUCAAAUGUUUCCAUGACUUAGCUAUUUAACUGCUUUAAAAUGAAUGAAUGCUGCUUCAAGUUCUUUCAAAUACCCCACAUCUUGGCAACAACGAAAGGAAUUAACAUGAAGAAAAUUUACAAUCUUUCAUCACAUCGAACAAUGUCCCACAUUUGAAAAGUUCACAGCACAGAUUUCUGGUUACUGAAAGAAAGGAAAGACCUUCUUUGGAUUUGAAUAAACAGAUGGACUUUCUUC
rnacentral:lncRNA from 1 species